GUUGGCUACCACCUCCUCCACUGCUGUUUCCACCUACACUGCCAUGGUCACCGCCUCCUCAAGCUAUGGGUCACUUAGCAUAAACUAUGUACACAAUAGCAGAGGCUUGUGAAGGCCUUUUCUCCAUGCAUCAGGAGUUGAACUCAGUUUGAACAAUGAAAGAGAAUACCCUGCAGUCCAACCCUCUCUCAAAUGGAUAAUUCUGGUGAUCCUCCCGACAGCCAUGCUUUAGAUUUUGAUUUAUGUUUUUCCAAAACUAAAAUCAAAGAUCCAUCUAGUGCUAUUUUAUGACUCAGCUGUAUUUUUUAUUUUUAUGUUAUUUUAAGUGAUUUGCCUAUCCACAUUUGUUUGCAG